rnacentral:misc_RNA from 1 species
GAUGAAGAACGUAGCGAAAUGCGAUACUUGGUGUGAAUUGCAGAAUCCCGUGAACCAUCGAGUCUUUGAACGCAAGUUGCGCCCGAAGCCACUAGACCGAGGGCACGCCUGCCUGGGCGUCACACGUCGUUGCCCCCCACCAUCUACUCCUUCGGGAUUGCGGGGGGCGGAUGAUGGCCUCCCGUGCGCCUAGCCGCGCGGUUGGCAUAAAUACCAAGUCCUCGGCGACGCACGCCACGACAAUCGGUGGUUGCGAAACCUCGGUUGCCCGUCGUGUGCGUUCGUCGCGCAUCGAGGGCUCGAAAAAAUCCUCGGCUCCGGCUCGGCUUUCAACGCGACCCCAGGUCAGGCGGGGUUACCCGCUGAAUUUAAGCAUAUCAAUAAGCGGAGGA